CCUACGGGCGGCAGCAGUGGGGAAUAUUGGGCAAUGGGCGCAAGCCUGACCCAGCAACGCAGCGUGAAGGAAGAAGGCUUUCGGGUUGUAAACUUCUUUUCUGAGGGACGAAGAAAGUGACGGUACCUCAGGAAUAAGCCACGGCUAACUACGUGCCAGCAGCCGCGUGAAUACGUAGGUGGCAAGCGGUAUUCGGAUUGAUUGGGUGUGUAGGGCGUGUAGGCGGGAAGGAAAGUCAGCUGUGAAAACUCAGGGCUCAAACCUGAGCCUGCAUUGGAAACUGGUAUUCUUGAGUGCUGGAGAGGCAAGCGGAAUUCCGUGUGUAGCGGUGAAAUGUGUAGAUAUACGGAGGAACACCAGUGGCGAAGGCGGAUUGCUGGACCGUAACUGACGCUGAGGCGCGAAAGCGUGGGGAGCAAACAGGAUUAGAUACCCUAGUAGUC
rnacentral:rRNA from 1 species